GAGUUUGAUCAUGGCUCAGAUUGAACGCUGGCGGCAGGCCUAACACAUGCAAGUCGAGCGGUAGAGAGAAGCUUGCUUCUCUUGAGAGCGGCGGACGGGUGAGUAAUGCCUAGGAAUCUGCCUGGUAGUGGGGGAUAACGCUCGGAAACGGACGCUAAUACCGCAUACGUCCUACGGGAGAAAGCAGGGGACCUUCGGGCCUUGCGCUAUCAGAUGAGCCUAGGUCGGAUUAGCUAGUUGGUGAGGUAAUGGCUCACCAAGGCGACGAUCCGUAACUGGUCUGAGAGGGUGAUCAGUCACACUGGAACUGAGACACGGUCCAGACUCCUACGAGAGGCAGCAGUGGGGAAUAUUGGACAAUGGGCGAAAGCCUGAUCCAGCCAUGCCGCGUGUGUGAAGAAGGUCUUCGGAUUGUAAAGCACUUUAAGUUGGGAGGAAGGGCAGUAAAUUAAUAACUUUGUCUGUUUUGACGUUACCGACAGAAUAAGCACCGGCUAACUCUGUG
rnacentral:rRNA from 1 species